CCCUGAAUAGUUCACUGGUAGAACGGCGGUGUUACAUACCGCGCGCAUGGGAGUUCAAAUCUCUCUUCGGGGACCA
rnacentral:tRNA from 1 species